rnacentral:rRNA from 1 species
AUUGAACGCUGGCGGCAGGCCUAACACAUGCAAGUCGAACGAGUGGCGGACGGGUGAGUAAUGUCUGGGAAACUGCCCGCUGGAGGGGGGUAACUACUGGAAACGGUAGCUAAUACCGCAUACCAUCGGAUGUGCCCAGAUGGGAUUAGUUAGUAGGUGGGGUAACGGCUCACCUAGGCCAGGAUCCCUAGCUUGUCUGAAGGGAUGACCAGUCACAGUGGUAAUGGGACAAGCUCCCGACUCCUACGUGAGGCAGGGGUCGGGAAUAUUGCGGAAUGGGCGCAAGCCUGAUGCAGCCAUGGGGCGUGUAUGAGGAAGGCCUUCGGGUUGUAAAGUACGUUAAGCGAGGGGGCGUUACUUGCAGAAGAAGCACCGGCUAACUCCGUGCCAGCAGCCGCGGUAAUUC